AAGACUAUGCUUUCAGGGGUCAUUUCUCUAGUUGGUGACUGGAGAAGGGUGUCUGUGAAAGGCUGGUCUUGCUAACUGCAAUGAAGAGCUGUAGUGUUUCCUUCUGAGUGUGAAACUGGCAGAGUGUGCUGUUCUGUGGCAGUUGCUUUCUGCUGUGGAAGCGCGUCUUGCUCUUCCUGCGGCGAGACGGGGGGGAAGGAAACACAAUCUGAGUGGU
rnacentral:snoRNA from 1 species